rnacentral:lncRNA from 1 species
GAGGCAGAGCUGUGGGCCAUCAUUCAACCGGAUUCUAAAUUUAAGAAUAAUUGAGUCCUUAUUGAUAGCAUGUUAUUACUAGCUUCAUCUUCUAGAUAAGGAAAUUGAGGCAAAGGGAAAUCCAUUCAUUUGGCCCAGGCUUCACAAGUGGGAAGUGGUGGACCCCAUGGCCACCAUGUAUGGCUGUGCAUGUUUUUCACAGCUCAAUGACGCCUGGCCCAGGAGUCUGAAAUCCGGCCACCAAUCUGGUUAACAAAUCAUGGAUGCUAGUAUGAGGAUGAGUUUGUUGGGAGGAACAAAUCCUUUAUCAAAUUCAUUAAAAGAUAUGACCUUUUCACCAAGCUGUGGGCCCACUGGACUUUUAUCUGCCUAGAGGAGUUGCCUCAUUUGAUUUGCACCAAAACUUGGUAUAGGACAGUGGCUCCUGAAGAACCAGUAUUCAUACCCUGCAGUAUCUGUUCCUUGUCAAAGGCUCCUUUUACUAGUGUUUCCUCCACAAAGUACACAUUUUGGUAUAUUUUGCCCAUUGUUUAUGAUAGCAUGUAAAGAACCAUUAUUUCUGUGGCCUCAACAAACGGGGGUUUGCCUUUUUCAUGCAAUAAGGAGUCCAGAGUUGGUGGUUUAGAGUACGUACAAAGUCUUUAAGAACCCAUAUUCUGGGCCGGGUGCGGUGGCUCAUGCCUGUAAUCCCAGCACUUCAGGAGGCCGAGGCGGGUGGAUCACCUGAGGUCAGGAGUUCAAGACCAGCCUGGCCAACAUGGUAAAACCCCAUCUCUACUAAAAAUACAAAAAAUUAGCUGGGCAUGAUGGCAGGCGCCUGUAAUCCCAGCUACUUGGGAGGCUGAGGCAGGAGAAUCGCUCAACUCCGGGAGGUGGAAGUUGCAGUGAGCCGAGAUCGCACCACUGCACUUCAGCCUGGGCAACAAGAGCGAAACUCCAUCUCAAAAGAAAAGAAAAGAAAAGAAAACAAAACAAAAACCCAUGUUCCAUCCAGCACCCUGAUUUUGUUAGGAUGUGGCUUUCAACCUCAAGGUGUCUGCUGCACAGUCAGACUUCACAUGUGAAUUUCAGGCAGAAAACAUUGGGAAAAAAGCCAAGAAAAAAAAAAGGAGUGAUCCAGUUAAGUACAAAGAUACUAGGGGCUGGGAUUGCAGCCAGAGGUCCUGCCCACUGCCCGCUAGCUGCUGUGCCUGCUGUACAGCCAGCUCUCCAGGUCCAGAUGUGACUCAUAGUUCUAUAUAAUCCUUUUUAGCCCAGUGCUGUCUAAUAGAACUUUCCAUGAUG